UACAGAGGGUGCGAGCGUUGUCCGGAAUCACUGGGCGUAAAGGGCGCGUAGGCGGCCUGGUAAGUAAGGGGGUGAAAUCUUGCGGCUCAACUGCAAGGCUGCCUCUUAAACUAGCUAGGCUGGAGCACGGUAGAGGCAGAUGGAAUUCCCGGUGUAGCGGUGGAAUGCGUAGAGAUCGGGGAAGAACAUCGGGUGGCGAAAGGCGGUCUGCUGGGGCCGUUGCUGACGCUGAGGCGCGACACGUGGGGAGCAAACAGGAUAGAAACC
rnacentral:rRNA from 1 species